rnacentral:rRNA from 1 species
UACGUAGGGAGCAAGCGUUGUCCGGAUUCACUGGGUGUAAAGGGUGCGUAGGCGGGAAGGUAAGUCAGUGGUGAAAUCUCACAGCUCAACUGUGAAACUGCCGUUGAUACUGCUUUUCUUGAGUUCGGGAGAGGUUGAUGGAAUUCCAGGUGUAGCGGUGAAAUGCGUAGAUAUCUGGAAGAACACCAGUGGCGAAGGCGGUCAACUGGCCCGAAACUGACGCUGAGGCACGAAAGCGUGGGGAGCGAACAGG